rnacentral:lncRNA from 1 species
CUCCGCCGCGGGCUCUGCCCGCUCGCCUGCUCGCCUGGUGGGGGAGAGGGGAGCGGGGCCGACACAGGGUUCCUGACCAAGCUGGUGCUUCUGCGUGUGUUCCUGCAUGACUUGGUGUGUCCCCUUCUCUUGGAUCUACUGCAGUUGACAGCAGAUAACUGAAAGCUCGGAAAGCGAAACCGUGGAUAAGCAGGGGAACUGUGGCAUCCCAUUUAAAAUUGCUUCUGAAGAGAAGCAUGAGGUUACAUCUGUAAUCUCCCUGCAGCAGAGUCAACUGCAUAAGAAACCAAAAGACACACCUGCUCCAUGCCAGCCUAAGCCACCACAUAAAAAGUCAGACCAUCUGCUGGAAGAACCACAUGGAGAGGCCCUGAGUCAACAUGGAGAGGAAGAAGGACUUGACUGAAUCCAGCCUUCCAGCUGUCCCUACCAAGGUGCCAGGCAUGAGAAUGAAGCUGUCUUGAACUCUGAAGACCAGCUUA